rnacentral:rRNA from 1 species
UACGUAGGGUGCAAGCGUUAAUCGGAAUUACUGGGCGUAAAGCGUGCGCAGGCGGUUAUGUAAGACAGAUGUGAAAUGCCCGGGCUUAACCUGGGAACUGCAUUUGUGACUGCAUGGCUAGAGUGUGUCAGAGGGGGGUAGAAUUCCACGUGUAGCAGUGAAAUGCGUAGAUAUGUGGAGGAAUACCGAAUGGCGAAGGCAGCCCCCCUGGGAUAACACUGACGCUCAUGCACGAAAGCGUGGGGAGC